AACGAACGCUGGCGGCAUGCCUAACACAUGCAAGUCGAACGAGACCUUCGGGUCUAGUGGCGCACGGUUGCGUAACGCGUGGGAACCUGCCCUUAGGUUCGGAAUAACUCCCCGAAAGGGGUGCUAAUACCGGAUAAUGUCUUCGGACCAAAGAUUUAUCGCCUUUGGAUGGGCCCGCGUUGGAUUAGCUAGUUGGUAGGGUAAAAGCCUACCAAGGCGACGAUCCAUAGCUGGUCUGAGAGGAUGAUCAGCCACACUGGGACUGAGACACGGCCCAGACUCCUACGGGAGGCAGCAGUGGGGAAUAUUGGAAAAUGGGCGAAAGCCUGAUCCAGCAAUGCCGCGUGAGAGAUGAAGGCCUUAGGGUUGUAAAGCUCUUUUACCCGGGAUGAUAAUGACAGUACCGGGAGAAUAAGCUCCGGCUAACUCCGUG
rnacentral:rRNA from 1 species